rnacentral:rRNA from 1 species
ACGUACACUCCUGCGGGAGGCAGCAGUGGGGAAUUUUGGACAAUGGGCGCAAGCCUGAUCCAGCCAUGCCGCGUGCGGGAAGAAGGCCUUCGGGUUGUAAACCGCUUUUGUCAGGGAAGAAAAGGUUCUGGCUAAUACCUGGGACUCAUGACGGUACCUGAAGAAUAAGCACCGGCUAACUACGUGCCAGCAGCCGCGGUAAUACGUAGGGUGCAAGCGUUAAUCGGAAUUACUGGGCGUAAAGCGUGCGCAGGCGGUUAUGCAAGACAGAGGUGAAAUCCCCGGGCUCAACCUGGGAACUGCCUUUGUGACUGCAUGGCUAGAGUACGGUAGAGGGGGAUGGAAUUCCGCGUGUAGCAGUGAAAUGCGUAGAUAUGCGGAGGAACACCGAUGGCGAAGGCAAUCCCCUGGACCUGUACUGACGCUCAUGCACGAAAGCGUGGGGAGCAAACAGGAUUAGAAACCCGGGUAGUCCCAU